GCGCUCGACGACGAGGAACUGGUCUCCUACAUCCUUGCCGGUCUCGACUUCGACUACAACUCGGUUGUCACGACUGUGACCGGCCGUACCGAUCCAAUCUCGGUGAAUGAGCUCUAUGGGCUUCUGGUGGGCUUCGAGU
rfam:Oryza rufipogon genomic scaffold, chr10